UUUCACAACCAUCAGAGCUUAGUGCUCACUUCUUUUCUUCCAGGACACACAUACUCAUGAUUGCCAAUAAUAUCUGUGGUCCUUAGCUAUAACGUACUCAACUUGAGGGUGGUGGAAGAUCUCCAUGAAUACUGAAGUUUGAAUUUUAGCUCCAGAACUUAUUUGCUGUGUGUGAACUUGGGUAACCCAAGAGGAACCAGAUGGGAACAGAGAUGAGAAAGAUAAAGAGAAAAGCUGCAUUGUGCAAUUGGAUUCUCUAUGAUUCUUCAGACAUUUUCAGUGAAAUACAAUAAACCCAAGAAUGUCUGAUAGAGAAAAAUCCGUAUAUGUGCUGCCAUGUUCACAAGAGCCUUUGCAGAUGGUCUGUCCGUAUGCUACAGUAGAGCAAGAGCAGCACCACUGAGCUCCUAGUGCCAGACAGAGGAAAAGAGACAAGUUGGGAAAGAGAGAGGAAGAAAGGUAUGAGUAAAGUUUGGCAUUGGAAAGAAAACAGCAUCUGUAGAAAAGCUGUAGACAGUUCUGCUUCCUUAAAGUGGAGAGUUAAACUCACCUUUUGACAGCAUACUUUCUUUGCAUAGAAGAAUAACCCACAGUGGCCUUUAGACACAUGAGUUUUACUAGAAAUGUGACUGCAUAGUAUGGAGAAAGUCGGAAAACACUGUUUAUCACAAAUGGCUUGGUUUUUGAAUGGACUUUUUAAGUAUUUUAUUCAAACACAAAUAUUUGACAUCAAAUGUUUCGACAAAUGAAGUUUUAAAAUGCAAAAAUUAGCUUUACAUUUGAUAAUUCCAAGAUCAUCAUCAGUAACAAAAACACCUAAAACUCUCACCACCAGUGAGAUGGAAAAGGAUAUUUCGACACUGGGGGACAAGGGAGGGGCAUAUGAGAUUUUGCACUAGGACCCAUUUUACUUACUGGCCACAGUACAUUAUCCAGGUUUCCACAGAUAAGGGGAAUACAUGAAAUAGAAAUUUCUUGAUAGUCAAUAGGAACUUCAAAUGUGAUUACAGAUCAUUUGUGUACUUCAAAACAAUCCCUAAUGCAAGCAGAAGAUGAAACAAAUCCUAGGCAAAAGUUUAACUGGGGACCAAAAAGGGAAGAAGGACAGGAGGCAGAAAGGGAGAAGAAAGAGGCCAUCUCAGUCUCUUGGAUUAUGAAAAUACAAAGCACCUUUUAAAGGUUGUGGCAGAUUAAACUAAGAAGUAAGAAGGAGACCUGUCUACAGAGACUUACUGGCCACAUAUUGAGGUUUGGAUAUUGGUAGGUAAAGAGAAGGCACUGAAAGGAUUUAAGUGAGAAAAUGACAAAUCAGAUUUAUAUUUUUGGUUAAACAGUUGGG